rnacentral:rRNA from 1 species
GGCAGCAGCUAAGAAUAUUCCACAAUGGGCGAAAGCCUGAUGGAGCCACGCCGCGUGGACGAUGAAGGCCGGAAGGUUGUAAAGUCCUUUAGCAAGUGAGGAAUAAGCGGGACAGGGAAUGGUCUCGUGGUGACUGUAGCUUGAGAAUAAGGGUCGGCUAAUUACGUGCCAGCAGCCGCGGUAACACGUAAGACCCUAGCGUUAUUCGGAAUUAUUGGGCGUAAAGGGCACGCAGGCGGUCUGGUAAGUUUGGAGUGAAAUUACGGAGCUUAACUCCGUAGCUGCUUUGGAUACUGCUGGACUUGAAUCAGUGAGGGGUGACCGGAAUUCUUAGUGUAGGGGUGAAAUCUGUAGAUAUUAGGUAGAACACCGGUGGCGAAGGCAGGUCACCAGCACAUGAUUGACGCUCAGGUGCGAAGGUGCGGGGAUCAAACAGGAUUAGAUACCCUGGUAGUCCGCACAGUAAACGAUGCACACUUGGUGUUCGCUCUUAAGAGUGGGUGCCGUAGCUAACGCUUUAAGUGUGCCGCCUGGGAAGUA